CGUGCAUAGAGUCGAUAUCAC
rnacentral:siRNA from 1 species